rnacentral:lncRNA from 1 species
UUGAAAUAAAUAAAUGCAACACUUCCUUUUAGAAUUGAAUGAAAUGAAAAGGAAUAGUUAAUAGAAGAAGACGCCAAGGCUUGCAGAAGCCUGCAAGACUACAUCGAGGUCGUGUGAUGAUCAAGAAUCAGCAAAUUCACUACGCUCCGAAGUCCAGAACAUUGCGGUCUGCACAAACGAGUACAGAGUGUAGUAUCACCACAACCAACCCAAUGAAGGAAAUAACAAGUAAAGAUGGGAAGGAAAACAACUAAAAAUAGAAUAUCAAUAGAACAUAAAAGAAUCAAAAUCAACCACAAUCGCUCAACUGUCUCAUUUAGCUUAUUAAUUUGAUUUUAUUACAUGAAGAACCUAUGUGCCAAUUUUAGCUUUAACCGUUUUUGUUCAAUAUGUAUUUUGAAAAAAGGCGAAUGACAUUUAAAUCGUGCCUUCGGAUUGCGUCACAUGAAAUGCACCCGCAAUCCUAAACGUACUCUAUUCAUUGUUAUGGGAUUUGAUUUGUGUCGCAUGGAAUGCACACCCGACGUUAUGAAAGUAGUUUUAUUAGAAUUGCGUCUAAAGAGUCUAAUGCGUUAUUAUCCUUUGGGAGGGCCGUGAGAUUCGCUAAAUGGAUCUUCCCGAUUUUCUAAAUAUUUUUAAACCUUUAUUGAAGGCCCCACAAUUUUGUGUUUUAUUGGGCGAGGCUCGUCUCAUUUUAUUUUAAAGAGUAAACCUAAGAGGGACUAUAUCUUCUAUUUUUAUUGUUUUUUCUCUAAAAGAAGAGAAAUGACCCUAAUUGGUUAUAUUACCAGAAAGGUUGUGCUUCAAAUUCAAGUCUGGGUCCAAACAAAAAGGAGUACCUUUUGGCCUGAACCCGCAACCUAAUUUGAAACCCAAACUCAUGUUAUUGUUUAAAUAUGGAAUUGAACUCUUGGACAAGCCCAGAUUGUUGGCUCAAUGAACCAAACUCGCGAAAAGGGGUCCAUUUCCAUUUCCAUCUAUUGACUGCCAAUAAGACAUCGAGUCUGGGUAGAAGUUGAAAUUGUAAGGGAAUUUUAAUUGCAAUUUCAAUCACAAACACAACCACACGUCAAACCUCCACAACCUCAAAAAAAAAUUUAAUUGCGAAUUGAGCCAAAAUUCACAGCCCAAACACCCUGGGAACCACAUAUCUCAAGGACAAAACUCGAGAACUCCAAUCUCAACGCAAAUCAAUAGUUUAGGUGAUUUUAACACCAAGUCAACUUGAUAACAUAAUCUGCUGCUUUAAGUGCCCGUGUAUUUUUUGAUUUUAUGUUAACGCCCAGAUAGUAAUCCAAUUCAAAUCAAAUACGCAUGCAGAACAAAAAAUCUAAUUACUUGUAUUUUGCUAGGCUUAAUUAUAAAUGUGUGUAGUAUAGAUAUAAAAAUAUUGCCUGCUCCUGUUUGUUUACCCAACUAAUGCGAAAAUCAAUGACCAAAUCGACUAAUAUGCUAGGCACGAAACUCAGAAUUCCAAAUUUUAUUUCAGAAUGCAAUCGAUUAUAACUGAUUACAUCCAAUGUAUAUGCAUAAGUUAGUGAAAUAGCCCUGUUAUUACAUACUCCAACAAAAUUCAACCAAGUAGCUUAUAUGUGACUGCAAUAUUAAAAAGCCACGAAUCACAACAAAAUUUAUUCAGUCAUGGCAAAAUAACAAAUCCACAGCCAGAAUUGGUUUCGGUGUUUAUUUCAUGUUGUCAACAGUAAGCGAAUACAUCAAAGAUAGUUCGAAGGUGUACCUGGAAAAUGUAACACACGGAGAAUAUAGUAGAUCAGAGAUCAGCAGCAGGACUAGCAAAUUCAAUCGAACAGCCCAAGAAACUUGUUUACAAGUCUAGAAUGAGUUUGAAAUCAAGCAAAAUCAGAAGAGUCAACUAAAGACCAUGUAUAUAACCCUACUGAACUUGAAAUUGAGACCCAGGCUUCACACGUUCCUCAACAAAUAAACCAAAUAACAACACGGCUACUCAGAAUGCACUCAAAUUCUUUCCAAAUUGAUCUUAGAUGUAAAACAAAAUAAAAUAGACUCAAAUGCCCUAAAACCAGCUACCAAAACCUCUAAGUGUUGUUUAACAGACUCCAAACUGUAAUAGAAUCAGAGAAAUUCCAAUAGGAACUGAAACUAUUUAGAAAGGCAAUGAAACAGUGAAGUUUUUUUUUUUUUAAUUUUCUGUUUUUUUAUUAUUUCUGCAGAUUUGAAGCUAAGCUGAGAUCUAGAAAUCAAAGAGAGGGAGUUUUUGGGAGGAAUUUUGAGC